CUCAACCUCGAGACGCCGAUGGAAACCGACUGGCUAGAGUCCGGAAGAGGAGAGUGGAAUUCCCGGUGUAGCGGUGAAAUGCGCAGAUAUCGGGAAGAACACCCGUGGCUAAGGCGGCUCUCUAGUACGGUACUGACGCUGAGACGCGAAAGCGUGGGGAGCGAACAGGAUUAGAUACCCUGGUAGUCCACGCCGUAAACGAUGGGUGCUAGGUGUGGGAGGUGUCGACUCCUCCCGUGCCGAAGCUAACGCAUUAAGCACCCCGCCUGGGGAGUACGGCCGCAAGGCUAAAACUCAAAGGAAUUGACGGGGGCCCGCACAAGCAGCGGAGCAUGUGGUUUAAUUCGACGCAACGCGAAGAACCUUACCUAGGCUUGACAUGCACGGGAAUGUCGUGGAAACACGGCAGCCCUUCGGGGCUC
rnacentral:rRNA from 1 species